rnacentral:tRNA from 2 species
CCUUGAGCGACAGGGUAUGGAAGCUGUCGAGGAUCACGCCCACGGCCGGGUGGUCGGCCUGGCGCACCAGGUUCCAGACCUGCUGCAAGGU